rnacentral:rRNA from 1 species
GACGAACGCUGGCGGCGUGCUUAACACAUGCAAGUCGAACGGUGAAGCGCCUUCCUUUUUGGUGGGUGUGGAUGAGUGGCGAACGGGUGAGUAACACGUGAGUAACCUGCCCCCUUCUUCUGGAUAACCGCAUGAAAGUGUGGCUAAUACGGGAUAUUCUGGGUCUGUCGCAUGAUGGGUCUGGGAAAGAUAUUGUUUCGGUGGGGGAUGGGCUCGCGGCCUAUCAGCUUGUUGGUGGGGUGAUGGCCUACCAAGGCGGUGACGGGUAGCCGGCCUGAGAGGGUGGACGGUCACACUGGGACUGAGACACGGCCCAGACUCCUACGGGAGGCAGCAGUGGGGAAUAUUGCACAAUGGGCGCAAGCCUGAUGCGGCGACGCCGCGUGAGGGAUGGAGGCCUUCGGGUUGUGAACCUCUUUCGCCAGUGAAGCAGGCCUGCCUCGUUUGUGGGUGGGUUGACGGUAGCUGGAUAAGAAGCGCCGGCUAACUACGUG